rnacentral:tRNA from 1 species
ACACCGUUGGUGAAGUGGUUAUCAUGCUUGCCUUCCAUGUAUCGAUGCGUAGGAAGUAGCAAGCGGCUCGGGUUCGAUUCCCGAACGGUGUA